UACGAGUGGCGCAAGCGUUGUUCGGAUUCACUGGGCAUAAAGCGCGCGUAGGCGGUGCUGUAAGUCGGUUGUGAAAGCCCCCGGCUCAACCGGGGAAUCGCAGUCGAAACUGCAGUGCUAGAGUCUGGAAGGGGGGAGUGGAAUUCCUGGUGGAGCGGUGAAAUGCGUAGAUAUCAGGAGGAACGCCGGUGGCGAAGGCGACUCUCUGGUCCAGUACUGACGCUCAGAGCGCGAAAGCUAGGGGAGCAAACAGGAUUAGAAACCCUUGUAGUCC
rnacentral:rRNA from 1 species